rnacentral:lncRNA from 1 species
AGCGAUGUAAAUCCAGUGUCAAUUUUUUAAUUUACGAAAUUUUCUCCCUUUCUGUAAACAGAAUAGGAUAUGAUAUACAUACGUUAAUAAAUACACCAAAAACAAAAAUUUACUUAAACAUCGUUGAAUAAACCUAUAUUUAACGAUAAUAGACUAAGUCUGACGUCACACGGGCUGUGACGUCUCGAAACCUUUCCAAACAAAUAAAUAUUACACUUAAAAUUGAGCUAUGAAUUAAGAGUAGUUGUGCCUUUAUUACGAGAGAGUUUAUCGAUAUUUCUACGGUCCCUAGAGAAGUUUUUCAUCAGCAUCAGAACAGCUUUUAAAUAUGUGCUCAAGCACUGGCGAUUUUUUUUGGAAUAAUAAUAAAGUCAUUAAAAAAGGUGAAAAAGCGCUGGAGUCCAAAUCACAUGGAAAGAACUCCAUUUCUUGCAGAUUUAGAUGAUCAUGCCAGUAUGAAAGAAAAAUAUUGAGAUAAGCUUAUAUAUUGAUAAGAUAAGAUGAUAAGAUGAUAAGGUAUUGAGAUAAGUAGGUCAAUACCUAACCUUUGUGUGUAAAUUAAAGAAAAUAAUCCUCAAUGGGAGGUAUGUCCUUCAACACAUCUGGAAUUUAUUCCCAUACCUCUCAUGAUGACUUCUUAAGGAGGUACCUAAAGGACAGGGUUAAGAUUUACAACAUGCUUCUCGCUCUGUAACUACCAGAGCAUUUUACAGAAAUGAGCCAGGCUUAUCAGAAUUACAUCUUUGGCUUCCAUCGAAUCUGCAAAAUGAUACAUUAAGAUGUCUUUCAGUUAGUUGUCUGGUUUCAUGUUGUUUUUAGGGAUUCAAGAGCAUUAUUGUAGAGUCCCCCCAGGUCACUAUACCAUAGCAUAUCAGAGAUUCCACAAAUGAUUGGUACAACAUUAUUAAAGUUUUUUAUCCAAUAUAUUUCUAAUAAGGAAAAAUUUAUGAAUUAAGCUUUUGAGUUUAGAUGUUAAGUUUUGAAUGUGUGGUGUUCAUUUUAAUUUUUUGUUUAUUAUUAUACCUAGAUGUUUAGUGUUUUCUACUUCUUUUAUAAUAAAGUUUUGUUGUUCAUCAAUAA